AAUAUUUGUUUUCAUGGUCUUCAAUUUUUAUUGAAAAAUGUGGCAGGCAGCAUGAGGCUGGAAACCAGCAGAGGUUCCUGUUGUUCCAGAUCACUCACAGCCUGGGUAAACAACAUGCUGCCUCUGUCAGGAAAUGGAUUCAAUCCGGCAAUGGACAGAGUAAUAAAUGAUGAUCCACCUUCUUACAGCACCAGGAAAUGAGCUAAGAUAGGCCCCCACCCACAGCGCUCCCUGAUCCUAUAUCUAUCUGUCACACUUUUUGAUUCAAACACACACCCACAUGUCUCCCAGUAAGGCAGUGACCUUGGCAGCAGUGGUGCGCCCUCAGACAGGCAGUGUUCCCAGGUCGGGACUGGUGAAGAGCAGGUGUACUGCUGUCAACAGAAGCUCAGAAAAACUCAGCUAGUGAUUUGAGAUGGAUAAUACAUUUAUGUCAGCAAACACUUCUAAGACCCCAUAAUCUCCUGCCUAAGUCUUUUCUCUCUCUGGAGAGUUGUCAGACAGGGCUCUCUGUUGUGCAACCCAUCAGUGCUGAUCUGUGACACAUUAGCCAGCGCAGACAGGCAGAACUGGAUGCGGGCUUCUGCUGCAAACAAAUGGAACAAAUUGCCAGUGGAGAUGAAACUUUCACCAAAUAUAGACACGUUUAAAAACAGGUUAAAAACAUUUCCUUCACAUGUGCCUAUGCAUGAAA